AUUGAACGCUGGCGGCAGGCCUAACACAUGCAAGUCGAGCGGAUGAAGGGAGCUUGCUCCUGGAUUCAGCGGCGGACGGGUGAGUAAUGCCUAGGAAUCUGCCUGGUAGUGGGGGAUAACGUCAGGAAACGGGCGCUAAUACCGCAUACGCACUGCGGGAGAAAGUGGGGGAUCUUCGGACCUCACGCUAUCAGAUGAGCCUAGGUCGGAUUAGCUAGUUGGUGGGGUAAAGGCCUACCAAGGCGACGAUCCGUAACUGGUCUGAGAGGAUGAUCAGUCACACUGGAACUGAGACACGGUCCAGACUCCUACGGGAGGCAGCAGUGGGGAAUAUUGGACAAUGGGCGAAAGCCUGAUCCAGCCAUGCCGCGUGUGUGAAGAAGGUCUUCGGAUUGUAAAGCACUUUAAGUUGGGAGGAAGGGCAGUAAGUUAAUACCUUGCUGUUUUGACGUUACCAGCAGAAUAAGCACCGGCUAACUUCGUG
rnacentral:rRNA from 1 species